GGGUCUGUAGCUCAGGUGGUUAGAGCACACGCUUGAUAAGCGUGGGGUCGUAGGUUCAAGUCCUACCAGACCCACCA
rnacentral:tRNA from 7 species